rnacentral:rRNA from 1 species
AGCUGUAAACUAUGCAAACUCAGUGAUGCAUUGGCUUGUGGCCAAUGCAGUGCUGCAGGGAAGCCGUUAAGUUUGCCGCCUGGGAAGUACGUACGCAAGUAUGAAACUUAAAGGAAUUGGCGGGGGAGCACCACAAGGGGUGAAGCCUGCGGUUCAAUUGGAGUCAACGCCAGAAAUCUUACCCGGAGAGACAGCAGAAUGAAGGUCAAGCUGAAGACUUUACCAGACAAGCUGAGAGGUGGUGCAUGGCUGUCGCCAGCUCGUGCCGUGAGAUGUCCUGUUAAGUCAGGUAACGAGCGAGAUCCCUGCCUCUAGUUGCCACCAUUACUCUCAGGAGUAGUGGGGCGAAUUAGCGGGACCGCCGCAGUUAAUGCGGAGGAAGGAGGGGGCCACGGCAGGUCAGUAUGCCCCGAAACUCUGGGGCCACACGCGGGCUGCAAUGGUAGUGACAAUUGGUUCCGAAUCCGAAAGGAGGAGGUAAUCCUCAAACGCUACCACAGUUAUGACUGAGGGCUGCAACUCGCCCUCACGAAUAUGGAACCCCUAGUAACUGCGUGUCAUUAUCGCGCGGUGAAUACGUCCCUGCUCCUUGCACACACCGCCCGUCGUUUCAUUAAAGUUUGCUUUUAGCGAGGUGACGUCUGAUUGGCGUUAUCGAACUUGAGGUAAGUGACAAGGGAAAAGUCGUAACAAGGUAGCC